rnacentral:rRNA from 1 species
CCUACGGGCGGCAGCAGUGGGGAAUAUUGCACAAUGGGGGAAACCCUGAUGCAGCGACGCCGCGUGAGUGAAGAAGUAUUUCGGUACGUAAAGCUCUAUCAGCAGGGAAGAAAAUGACGGUACCUGACUAAUAAGCCCCGGCUAACUACGUGCCAGCAGCCGCGGUAAUACGUAGGGGGCAAGCGUUAUCCGGAUUUACUGGGUGUAAAGGGAGCGUAGACGGCAGCGCAAGUCUGGAGUGAAAUCCCAUGGCUUAACCAUGGAACUGCUUUGGAAACUGUGCAGCUAGAGUGCAGGAGAGGUAAGCGGAAUUCCUAGUGUAGCGGUGAAAUGCGUAGAUAUUAGGAGGAACACCAGUGGCGAAGGCGGCUUACUGGACUGUAACUGACGUUGAGGCUCGAAAGCGUGGGGAGCAAACAGGAUUAGAUACCCCUGUAGUC